rnacentral:sRNA from 1 species
CGAUUAAGGUUCGACUUGAGCGAAAGCGAGAGAACGUUGCCAACGGCAACGGCCCGUAGGGUGAGGAGCGAAGCGACGAAUAAUCCUUCCCCCACCACCA